rnacentral:misc_RNA from 1 species
CUGAGUUUUGUUAGGUGUGCAAGCUUGAUUGGACACAAUAACAGUCAGGAAAUGCGGACAUCCCAGAUGCAGGACACAAUUGCCAAAUUUCGAGAUGGUCGUGUGACACUGUUGGUUGCUACAAGUGUUGCUGAGGAAGGACUAGAUAUUAGACAAUGCAAUGUUGUUAUUCGCUUUGAUCUUGCAAAAACUGUUCUGGCAUACAUUCAGUCUAGGGGUCGUGCAAGAAAGCCUGGUUCAGAUUACAUCUUGAUGGUUGAGAGGGGAAAUCUGUCUCAUGGAGCAUUCUUAAGAAAUGCUAGGAAUAGUGAGGAGACCCUGCGGAAAGAAGCAAUUGAGAGAACUGAC